AUGGUAUUCCAGAGGGAACUUCGUCAGACUUAGCUACCUCCCACAACAACUCAAGUGACUUGGUACAAUUUGCUGAUGGACGCAUUGUAUUAUUGGAUCCUCCUGAAACCACACAGUCUGUCACAAUUGUUAGUGAUGCAUUUUAAGAACCAGUUGCUUUUAGAUCUUUCACUUUGUCUGCCAGACAAAGUAACCUUGCAUAUUUCCACUCUAGGAUGAUGAUGAUGAUGAUGAAGAGACCACAUCUGCUGUGACAGAAUUAGAAAGUGCUGGGAGACCCACAGAGAAUCUAGCUGGGGAUGUACAUGCAGAUGAUGGUCCAUCUACCUCUACACAUAAUCUUAGCAGUUUGUCUGCAAAGGAGCUGUAUAAGGUCCAUCUAUUAAGGCAAAUUAAAAAAACUGACAUGGAAAUGGACCUUAUACAGCUUCAGCUAGAGGAGAAAAGGCUGGCCAUUAAAAAGGACAAACUUGAAAUAGAACUACUGGAGCAUCGCC